rnacentral:rRNA from 1 species
CCCUUAGAUGUCCUGGGCUGCACGCGCGCUACACUGGAAGUUACGGAUUGAGAUACUACCUUGUCCGAAAUGGUCCGGGUAAUCACCUAAAAGCUUGUCAUAAUUGGAAUGGAUUAUUGUAACUAGUAAUCCUGAACGAGGAAUUCCUAGUAAGUCCCAGUCAACAGCUGGUACUGAUUACGUCCCUGCCCUUUGUACACACCGCCCGUCGCUACUACUGAUUGGACGUUUAAGCAAGAUUUUUAAACACUGACAGUGUGUAGUUCACGCUAUACUACAGUGAGAAGAAGAAGAUCGAGCUUACUUGUCUAGAGGAAGUAGAAGUCGUAACA